rnacentral:rRNA from 1 species
GCUCAGGACGAACGCUGGCGGCGUGCUUAACACAUGCAAGUCGAACGAUGAACCACCUUCGGGUGGGGAUUAGUGGCGAACGGGUGAGUAACACGUGGGCAAUCUGCCCUGCACUCUGGGACAAGCCCUGGAAACGGGGUCUAAUACCGGAUACUGAACCGCUUGGGCAUCCAGGCGGUUCGAAAGCUCCGGCGGUGCAGGAUGAGCCCGCGGCCUAUCAGCUUGUUGGUGAGGUAACGGCUCACCAAGGCGACGACGGGUAGCCGGCCUGAGAGGGCGACCGGCCACACUGGGACUGAGACACGGCCCAGACUCCUACGGGAGGCAGCAGUGGGGAAUA